GGUUCCAUGGGUGCAAUGGGUCAAAUGCAUAUGGCUGUUAACCAGAAGGCUGGUGGUUCAAGCCCACCCAGGAGUCA